CCUACGGGAGGCAGCAGUGGGGGAUAUUGCACAAUGGGGGGAACCCUGAUGCAGCGACGCCGCGUGGGUGAAGAAGCGCCUCGGCGCGUAAAGCUCUGUCAGCAGGGAAGAAAAUGACGGUACCUGAAGAAGAAGCCCCGUCUAACUACGUGCCAGCAGCCGCGGUAAUACGUAGGGGGCAGGCGUUAUCCGGAUUUACUGGGUGUAAUGGGGGCGCAGACGGCGAUGCAAGCCAGGAGUGAAAGCCCGGGGCCCAACCCCGGGACUGCUCUUGGAACUGCGUGGCUGGAGGGCAGGAGGGGCAGGCGGAAUUCCUGGUGUAGCGGUGAAAUGCGUAGAUAUCAGGAGGAACACCGGUGGCGAAGGCAGCCUGCUGGACUGCAACUGACGUUGAGGCCCGAAGGCGUGGGUAUCAAACAGGAUUAGAUACCCCUGUAGUC
rnacentral:rRNA from 1 species